GUUUUAAUAGUUUAAAUAAAAAUAUAGAUCUUGUAAAUCUGAGAUGAUAAUUAUUUUAAAACU
rnacentral:tRNA from 1 species